ACUGAGGCUGCGAAGAUAUUUUUUGUGAUGAAUGGAAAUGGAAGGGUAGCAUUUGACGGAAGACGAGAAAUUCAUGUCCGCCGGACUCACCAUUGCCAUUCAAGGAAGGAUGGCGUUCUUCAAUUCCUACUGAACUUUUGUAUUAUAUGCUGACUAUUUGGGGUCCGUACAUCACAGAUCAGCGGUGU